GUUCCUAUCGUCUAGUGGCCUAGGAUGCCACCCUCUCACGGUGGAGACAGGGGUUCAACUCCCCUUAGGAAUACCA
rnacentral:tRNA from 2 species